rnacentral:rRNA from 1 species
ACGCUUGAAGUCAGUCAUGUCAGUCAGGGAUCAGCCUUGCUUUUGCUUGGUGUACUUCCUGGCUGAUGGGUCAGCAUCAAUUUUGACUAUUGGAAAAAGAUCAGGGGAAUGUGGCAUCUUCGGAUGUGUUAUAGCCCUUGGUUGUAUGCAAUGGUUGGGAUUGAGGAACUCAGCAUGCCGCAAGGCCGGGUUUUAACCACGAACAUGCUUAGGAUGCUGGCAAAAUGGCUUUAAUCGACCCGUCUUGAAACACGGACCAAGGAGUC